rnacentral:tRNA from 1 species
GCUGGCAUGGCUCAGUGGUUGAGCGUCGACCUAUGAACCAGGAGGUCAUGGUUUGAUUCCCAGUCAGGGCA